CUUCUGUCCACAGUUAGAAAAACUGUCUAUAAAUGGAGGUGAUUUAGUACUAUAGGUACUCUCUCUAGAAGUGGCCGUUAGAUAUUCAUCUGUCCACAGUUAGACAGACUGUCUAUAAAUGGAGGUGAUUUAGUACUAUAGGUACUCUCACUAGAAGUGGUCGUUAGAUAUUCAUCUGUCCACAGUUAGACAAACUGUCUAUAAAUGGAGGUGAUUUAGUACUAUAGGUACUCUCUCUAGAAGUGGUCGUUAGAUAUUCAUCUGUCCACAGUUAGACAAACUGUCUAUAAAUGGAGGUGAUUUAGUACUAUAGGUACUCUCUCUAGAAGUGGUCGUUAGAUAUUCAUCUGUCCACAGUUAGACAAACUGUCUAUAAAUGGAGAUGAUUUAGUACUAUAGGUACUCUCUCUAGAAGUGGCCGUUAGAUAUUCAUCUGUCCACAGUUAGACAAACUGUCUAUAAAUGGAGAUGAUUUAGUACUAUAGGUACUCUCUCUAGAAG